AUUGAACGCUGGCGGCAUGCCUUACACAUGCAAGUCGAACGGCAGCACGGGAGCAAUCCUGGUGGCGAGUGGCGAACGGGUGAGUAAUAUAUCGGAACGUGCCCAGUCGUGGGGGAUAACGCAGCGAAAGUUGUGCUAAUACCGCAUACGAUCUAUGGAUGAAAGCGGGGGAUCGCAAGACCUCGCGCGAUUGGAGCGGCCGAUAUCAGAUUAGGCUGUUGGUGAGGUAAAGCUCACCAAGCCUGCGAUCUGUAGCUGGUCUGAGAGGACGACCAGCCACACUGGAACUGAGACACGGUCCAGACUCCUACGGGAGGCAGCAGUGGGGAAUUUUGGACAAUGGACGAAAGUCUGAUCCAGCAAUGCCGCGUGCAGGACGAAGGCCUUCGGGUUGUAAACUGCUUUUGUACAGAACGAAAAGUCUUUAAUAACACUAGAGGCUCAUGACGGUACUGUAAGAAUAAGCACCGGCUAACCG
rnacentral:rRNA from 1 species